rnacentral:rRNA from 1 species
AUGCACGCUGGCGGCGUGCCUAAUACCUGCCAGUCGAGCGAACAGACGAGGAGCUUGCUCCUCUAACGUUAGCGGCGGACGGGUGAGUAACACGUGGAUAACCUACCUAUAAGACUGGGAUAACUUCGGGAAACCGGAGCUAAUACCGGAUAAUAUAUUGAACCGCAUGGUUCAAUAGUGAAAGACGGUUUUGCUGUCACUUAUAGAUGGAUCCGCGCCGCAUUAGCUAGUUGGUAAGGUAACAGCUUACCAAGGCAACGAUGCGUAGCCGACCUGAGAGGGUGAUCGGCCACACUGGAACUGAGACACGGUCCAGACUCCUACGGGAGGCAGCAGUAGGGAAUCUUCCGCAAUGGGCGAAAGCCUGACGGAGCAACGCCGCGUGAGUGAUGAAGGUCUUCGGAUCGUAAAACUCUGUUAUUAGGGAAGAACAAAUGUGUAAGUAACUAUGCACGUCUUGACGGUACCUAAUCAGAAAGCCACGGCUAACUACGUG